rnacentral:rRNA from 1 species
AUGAUGUGCUGCGUCGAGAUUUUCCUUCCGCGCAUGCCGAUGGCCGUCCACGACGCGCUGAGGUGGGUCGGCGCCGUCGUCGGCCUAGUUGUCAUCAUCGUGGGGGGCGGUGUUCUGUGCCUCUCGGCCCGAGUCAGUGUCGUGGUGGGCUGCACGUGUUUCAUGGUCGCUCUCAUCGCCGGGCUCCUGGUGGUCUGGAGAUGGCUUGUUCGCGAGUACGGAGGCGAGGCGUCAGAUAUGUGCACGGAAAAGCACUCUGAAGUUGUUACGACUGACGACUGGCACAUCUACCUGCCGCCUGUCUAG